rnacentral:rRNA from 1 species
CGAGUGGCGAACGGGUGAGUAAUAUAUCGGAACGUGCCCAGUAAUGGGGGAUAGCCCGGCGAAAGCCGGAUUAAUACCGCAUACGACCUACGGGUGAAAGCGGGGAUCGCAAGACCUCGCGUUAUUGGAGCGGCCGAUAUCAGAUUAGGUAGUUGGUGGGGUAAAGGCCUACCAAGCCUGCGAUCUGUAGUUGGUCUGAGAGGACGACCAGCCACACUGGGACUGAGACACGGCCCAG